CAGUCGCCACGGGAAUACGGAGGGAGCUAGCGUCGUUCGGAAUUACUGGGCGUAAAGCGCGCGUAGGCGGUUACUCAAGUCAGAGGUGAAAGCCCGGGGCUCAACCCCGGAACAGCCCUUGAGACUGGAUAACUUGAAUCCAGGAGAGGUGAGUGGAAUUCCGAGUGUAGAGGUGAAAUUCGUAGAUAUUCGGAAGAACACCAGUGGCGAAGGCGGCUCACUGGACUGGUAUUGACGCUGAGGUGCGAAAGCGUGGGGAGCAAACAGGAUUAGAUACCCCUGUAGUCCCUGUCUCUUAUAA
rnacentral:rRNA from 1 species